AUUGAACGCUGGCGGCAGGCCUAACACAUGCAAGUCGAGCGGAUGAAGGGAGCUUGCUCCUGGAUUCAGCGGCGGACGGGUGAGUAAUGCCUAGGAAUCUGCCUGGUAGUGGGGGAUAACGUCCGGAAACGGGCGCUAAUACCGCAUACGUCCUGAGGGAGAAAGUGGGGGAUCUUCGGACCUCACGCUAUCAGACGAGCCUAGGUCGGAUUAGCUAGUUGGUGGGGUAAAGGCCUACCAAGGCGACGAUCCGUAACUGGUCUGAGAGGAUGAUCAGUCACACUGGAACUGAGACACGGUCCAGACUCCUACGGGAGGCAGCAGUGGGGAAUAUUAGACAAUGGGCGAAAGCCUGAUCCAGCCAUGCCGCGUGUGUGAAGAAGGUCUUCGGAUUGUAAAGCACUUUAAGUUGGGAGGAAGGGCAGUAAGUUAAUACCUUGCUGUUUUGACGUUACCAACAGAAUAAGCACCGGCUAACUUCGUG
rnacentral:rRNA from 1 species